rnacentral:tRNA from 1 species
GGGAGAUGGCUCAGUGGUUAAGAGCACUGGUUAUUCUUCCAGAGGUCCUGAGUUCAAUUCCCAGCACCCA